rnacentral:rRNA from 1 species
AACGGCCGUACCAUGCUGAAUAUACCGGUUCUCGUUAGAUCACCGAAGUGAAGCAUCAUUGGGCGCGGUCAGUACUUGGGUGGGUGACCACCUGGGAAAUACCGCGUGCCGU